rnacentral:rRNA from 1 species
GACAGAGGAUGCAAGCGUUAUCCGGAAUGAUUGGGCGUAAAGUGUCUGUAGGUGGCUUUUUAAGUCCUCCGUCAAAUCCCAGGGCUCAACCCCGGACAGGCGGUGGAAGCUGACAAGCUGGAGUACGGUAGGGGCAGAGGGAAUUUCCGGUGGAGCGGUUAAAUGCGUAGAGAUCGGAAAGAACACCAACGGCGAAAGCACUCUGCUGGACCGAUACUGACGCUCAGGUGCGAAAGCGUGGGGAGCAAACAGG